GACGAACGCUGGCGGCGUGCUUAACACAUGCAAGUCGAGCGGUAAGGCCCUUUCGGGGGUACACGAGCGGCGAACGGGUGAGUAACACGUGGGUGACCUGCCCUCAGCUCUGGGAUAAGCCUGGGAAACCGGGUCUAAUACCGGAUAUGACUCCAUGACGCAUGUUGUGGGGUGGAAAGCCUUGUGCGGCUGAGGAUGGGCCCGCGGCCUAUCAGCUUGUUGGUGGGGUGAUGGCCUACCAAGGCGACGACGGGUAGCCGGCCUGAGAGGGCGACCGGCCACACUGGGACUGAGACACGGCCCAGACUCCUACGGGAGGCAGCAGCGGGGAAUCUUGCGCAAUGGGCGAAAGCCUGACGCAGCGACGCCGCGUGAGGGAUGACGGCCUGG
rnacentral:rRNA from 1 species